GACAACAAGCAAAGCUUCCGCAAUGAAAGUAUUUUCCAAAAUUAAUCACUUUUCCUAAAAAUGACUUAAUCAAAUCGGUUUCCUAGAAAUAUCCAUGACGUUAAGGUGUGGCAAUGGCGGUAUCCAUGUCUAGGAUUGGAUCCGAAGGGAGCUUGGUACUUAAGCAGCCUUCAUGGCUCACCUUCUCUUUUCCGGUUUCCUACCUGGUGCCCAGUGUAACACCCCUUACCCGAUACCGUUUCCGGAGUCGAGCACGAGGCAUUACUUAGCUUAUCUUACCAAUUCGGAGCAUAAAAACUAGGUUUGAAAUUUUAUUUCAUUAUUCGCAGCAAAUCUGUCCAAUCGCGCAGCAGUUACUAAAUUAAUUAUAACAUGAGCUACAGAACUCGAAAUUUAAUUCCGUAAAUUUUCCCUGAAACUAGACUCAUAUAUAUACUCACCAUAAAAUUUUUAGAAUUUUUGGUUCAUAAAAUUAGUACAGUUUAUUAGUUAAAGUCUCCCCUGUUUCACCACCUGACUGCCCUGACCUCUAGUCACUAAAAAUAAGUUUUCUCACUGUAGGAUUUUCAUAUGAAGUUCUUACUUGUUUCUACAGAAAAUAGACUCAUUAAGAAAUCUAAGCAUGUAAAUUUCAACUCAUAAACAUUUUUGUACAAUUUGUAAUUAUUUUCUAAACUCAGAACAGGGGACUCCAAAAACAGUUCUGACCCUAUCUUACUAAAAUUCACAUAUCUUAAAAUAUAAAUUUCCUUUUUCUACACCGUUAUUUUUCCAUGAAAAUAGACUCAACAAGCUUUAAUUCCAUAUAUCAUUCACCCUCUAAUUCAUUUUAUACUAUCUUGGGUGAUUUUUCAAAUUCACGUCACUGUGCUGCCUGAAUUCUGUUUCUUUGCAAAAUUUUAUCCUUUCAUGAUUUCCAUGCAUAAUUUAUCACCUAAUCUUUCAUAACAACAAACACCUUCAUCCUUAAUCAUUUUAAUAACCAUACAUCAUCAAAUACUUACACAUCACUCAUUAGCAAAAUCAUCAUUACAAACAUACAAAAUAACUAAAUCCCUAUACAUGCCAUAACUCAAACGUGUUUCGAUAUAAAAUACCGAGCAGUUGUAGUUGAUAGUGUGGACGAUCUCCGACUUCUUUAGGAUCCUUGAAGUAGCUUUGCAAUACUAUAAGAGAAAGAGAAAUAAAAGAAGUAAGCAUAAAGCUUAGUAAGUUUACUAGUAAAUAAAUAACAAUAUUUAACUUAAAUAAUUAAACUCAAUGUCUAUAUCUCUAGUUUACUCUUUAGUUAAUCUCAUACUAGUUCUCUUACUUGUUUACUUAGAAUACUUGUGUGCAUAACUUACUCAAUCCUUGCUGCAUCGUUGAACAUCAAUUGAUAGUAUAAUAAGUUCUUAAGUCUUACAACUUACCUGAGCUUGCCAUUUAUGCUUUAAACUGAACUUUCAUGAACAUGAUUCGUUUACAAGCCCGUUGAGCUACAUUGGAAUAAUAAGGAUACUCGGGUCUCUUCUGAUAAUAACAUGCCAAAGCCAUGUCCCAGACAUGGUCUUACAUGGGAUGUUCUCGUGAUGGUGCCCAUGCCAUGUCCCAGACAUGGUCUUAUAGGGGACCUCUCAUCUCGGUGCCAACGCCAUGUCCCAGACAUGGUCUUACAUGGGACCUCUCGUUUCGGUGCCCAUGCCAUGUCCCAGACAUGGUCUUACAAGGGACCUCUCAUGAUCUUAAGGAUGCCAAUGCCAUGUCCCAGACAUGGUCUUACAUGGGAUCUCUUUACCCAAAUGUCAUGACAUUCGUAUCCAGUACCAUCCUUAUGUAUCAACGGGACUUUUAAAUUUUAAUUCUCUAUCAUUUCAUGCUUGAAUCAUCAUCAAAUAAAUUCAUAAAAUAAAUUCAUAAUUGCUGGAAAUUAACAGAAUUAAUAAUAAAUAUUUAAAUAUUGCAUUUAUUUACCGUAAACUUACCUCGGUACCAAUUAUAGCCAAAUUCACCAACUUAGUCUUCAACUUUAUUCUUCCCUUUGUCUAACCUCGAGUUUCGUACUUCUUGAUCUAAAAUAGUAAAUUUAACUUAUUUAAUAAUCACAUUCAUUAAAACAGCCCUCGACUCUAACUUUUUCAAAAUUACAAUUUUGCCCCUAAACUUUUACAUAAUUACAUUUUUGCCCCAAGGCUCGGAAAUUAAACUUCAUCUCUUAUUCUUAUGUUUUAUAACAUUCUGAACAUUUUUCCCUUCUAUGGCAACAUCAAAUUCUCACUCUAACAUGUACUUAUGAACAUUAGGUAUUUUUACCGAUUAUGUCGUUUUACUCGUUUUCACUUAAAAUCGCUUAGCAAAAGUUGUUUAACAUAAUUUCUAGCUUCAUAUUCCAUCAUAAAACAUCAAAAUAAACACUUUUCACCUAUGGGUAUUUUUCCAAAUAUAAACCCUAGGUUAAAUUAUUGCUAAAAUAAGCUAAAUUAAGCUACCCGGAUCUCAAAAACGUAAAGAACAUUAAAAACGGGGCUUGGGAUCACUUACUAUGGAGCUUGGAAGCUUGAAAACCCUAACUAUGGCUUCCCCCCUUGCUGAUUUCGUUCAUAUGAAGAAGAUGAUGAUUUUUGUCAUCUUUUUCCCUUUUAAUUCAUUUUAAUUACUAGAUUACCAAAUUGCCCCUAACUUAAAAAUUUUCUAUUUCACUUAUCUCAUGUCCAUUUUUGUCUACCAAAUUACCAAUGGUAUAAUUACCAUAUAAGGACCUCCAAUUUAAAGUUUCAUAACAAUUGGACACCUCUAACAUGUAGAACUCAACUUUUGCACUUUUUACAAUUUAGUCCUUUUGACUAAAUUGAGUGCCCAAACGUCGAAAUUUUCGAGCGAAAUUUUCAAAAAAUCAUUUUGUGAAAUUGUAGACCAUAAAAAUAUAAGAAAAAUAAAAUUUUUCUCAUCGGAUUUGUGGUUCCGAAACCACUGUUCCGAUAACCUCAAAUUUGGGCCAUUACAACUCUCCCCCCCUUUUUAGGAUUUUCGUCCUCGAAAAUCUUACCAGUAAAGAGAUUCGGGUAUUGCUUCCUCAUUGUCUCUUCCGGUUCCCAUGUUGCUUCCUCAAUCCCGUGCUUUUGCCAUAGCACUUUCACCAGAUUUACCUUUUUGUUUCUAAGCUCCUUUGUUUCUCGUGCUAAUACUUUAACCGGUUCUUCAUUAUAAGUCAUAUCUGGCUGAAUUUCUACUUCUGUUGGAGUAAUAACAUGUGAAGGAUCUGAUCGAUACCGUCGUAGCAUAGAUACAUGAAAUACAUUAUGAAUUUUGUCGAGUUCCGGUGGUAAAGCCAAUCGGUAAGCAACUGGUCCAAUUCUUUCUAUAAUCUCAUAUAGUCCGAUAAAUCUUGGACUCAAUUUACCCUUUCGACCGAACCGGAGAACUUUCUUCCAAGGAGACACUUUUAAGAAUACUUUAUCACCCACCUGAAAUUCAAUCUCCCUUCGUUUAAGAUCGGCGUAUGACUUUUGACGAUCGAAAGCUGCUUUUAAACUAUCCCGAAUCAGUCUUACUUUUUCUUCUGUUUCCCGAAUCAAAUCAACCCCGUGUAUCUUCUUUUCACUGAGCUCUGUCCAAUAUAAUGGUGUUCUACAUUUUCUACCAUACAAAGCUUCAUACGGAGCCAUUUUAAUACUGGACUGAUAACUGUUAUUAUAAGCAAAUUCAAUCAAAGGUAGAUACCUUUCCCAAUUACCUUGAAACUCUAAUGCACAACAUCGGAGCAUAUCUUCCAAUACCUGAAUUACACGCUCAGAUUGGCCAUCUGUCUGAGGAUGAAAUGCAGUACUGAAAUACAACUGAGUACCCAAAGCUUCUUGCAAUUUGUUCCAGAAACGAGACGUAAAUCGGGGAUCUCUGUCUAAUAUAAUGGAGACAGGCACUCCAUGUAGUCUAACAAUCUCAGAUAUAUACAAUCCAACCAAUUUAUCUAAAGAAUAAUCCAUACAUACUGGGAUAAAGUGCGCGGACUUUGUCAAUCGGUCGACAAUUACCCAAAUGGCAUCUUUCUUCCUCGGAGAUAACGGUAACCCAGAUACAAAAUCCAUAGUGAUUCUUUCCCAUUUCCAUUCCGGUAUAGUGAUUGGCUGAAGCAACCCCGAAGGUACCUGAUGUUCAGCCUUAACCUGCUGACAUACUAAACAUCUUGAUACAAACUCAGAGAUAUCACGUUUCAUACUCGGCCACCAAUACAUCUUUUUCAAGUCAUUAUACAUUUUAUUACCUCCCGGAUGUACAGACAUAAUACCACUGUGUGCUUCGUGUAAAAUCUUCUGUACAAGUUCUGAAUUCUUCGGUACACAUACUCUGCCUCUGAAUAAUAAACAACCAUCAGUUCCAAUCUGAAAUUCUGAAUCAUUACCUGACUCACAAUGCACCCGUUUAGCCUGUAAUUUCUCAUCAUUCCUCUGAGCUUCACAUAUUUGUUGACGAAAUGUCGAUUUAGCUCUCAAUUCAGCUAUGAUUGAACCAUCAUUAGACAGUGACAACCGGGUAUUCAUAGCUCGUAAAGCAAAUAGAGAUUUUCGGCUCAAAGCAUCAGCUACCACGUUAGCCUUACCCGGAUGGUAAUCAAUAACCAAAUCAUAAUCCUUUAUCAAUUCAAGCCACCUGCGUUGUCUCAAAUUCAAAUCUUUCUGUGUCAUCAAAUAUUUCAAGCUUUUGUGAUUAGUAUAAAUAUGACACUUUUCACCAUACAAAUAAUGCCGCCAUGUUUUCAAUGCAAAUACAAUAGCAGCUAACUCGAGAUCAUGUACCGGGUAGUUUCUUUCAUGUGGCUUAAGUUGUCUUGAAGCAUAGGCUAUUACUUUAUCUUCUUGCAUCAAGACACAACCCAAACCAUUUAAUGAUGCAUCACUAUAAAUAAUAAAUUCCUUACCCGAUUCAGGCUGUACCAAUACAGGUGCUUUCGUUAACAACUCCUUCAAUCGGUCGAAACUUUGCUGGCAUUUUUCUGUCCAUUCAAAUUUAACAUCUUUCUGUAAUAAACGGGUCAUUGGAGAAGCUAUCAUAGAAAACCCUUGUACAAAUCUCCGAUAAUAACCAGCUAAACCCAAGAAACUUCUAACUUCAGAUACAUUCUUCGGUGGACUCCAAUUGACAAUAGCUGAAAUUUUACUCGGAUCUACCCUGAUGCCUUCUGCGGAUACAAUAUGUCUGAGAAAACUUACCUCUCGAAGCCAAAAUUCACAUUUCCUGAAUUUAGCAUAAAGUUUCUUUUCACGCAGAAUUUGCAACACUCAGUUUCGUCCUGAGAAUAAACUAAAAUGUCAUCAAUAAAAACUACUACAAACCUAUCUAGAUACGGUCUGAGUAUCCGGUUCAUCAAAUCCAUGAAUACUGCAGGUGCACUAGUCAACCCAAACGGCAUAACCAGAAACUCAUAAUGCCCAUACCUGGUUCUGAAAGCUGUCUUUGGCACAUCUGGCUCUUUUACCCGUAACUGAUAAUAACCCGAUCGGAGAUCAAUCUUUGAAAAUACUGUGGCACCUUUCAGUUGAUCAAAUAAGUCAUCAAUUCGAGGCAAUGGGUACUUAUUCUUUAUAGUUACCUUAUUAAGCUGCCGAUAGUCAAUACACAAUCUCAAAGACCCGUCUUUCUUUUUCACAAACAGAACUGGAGCACCCCAAGGUGAAUGACUCGGACGAACAAAACCUCUGUCAACAAGUUCCUGUAACUGUGCCUUUAACUCUUUUAAUUCUGUAGGAGCCAUACGAUACGGAGCUAUGGAAAUUGGGGCAGUUCCCGGAAUCAGAUCUAUAGAAAAUUCCACUUCUCUUUCUGGUGGCAACCCUGGUAACUCCUCUGGAAAUACAUCAGAAAAUUCACAUACAACUGGCACUGCCUGUAUCUUUGACUCAGAUACCUUAGUAUCCAACACAUACGCCAAAUAAACAUCAUACCCUUUUCUAACACACCUCUGAGCUGUCAUAACUGAAAUCAUAUCGGAUAAUCCCUUUGUCUGAUUAGAUUUAACCCAAAGUAAUUCUCCAUUCUGGCAUUUCAACACAACAUAUUUUUGUCUACAGUUUACUACUGCAUCAUGCUGAGUUAACUAAUCCAUGCCCAAUAUCACAUCAAACUCAUCAAAAGGCAAUAACAUCAAGUCAACCGGGAAACAAAUACCUUUUACCAUCAGUGGACAAUUUUUACAAACUUUAUCCACUAUCACAAACUGGCCCAGGGGGUUCGAGACUUUAACCAUAAAUUCAGUAGGUUCAACAGACAAAUUUUUAACAAAUGCUAAUUUUGUGCAUAUAUAUGAAUGUGUAGAGCCAGGAUCAAUUAAUGCAAUAACAGUAGUAUCAUAGAGAGAAAAUGUACCCGCAAUUACAUCAGGAGAGGACGCCUCUUCACGAGCUCGAAUAGCAUAUGAUCUUGCAGGUGCUCUAACAUCUGAUCUAACCGCUGAAUCUUUGAAUGCACCCCUAUCACUUGCCCCCACUCCUGAGUUUCUCUGCGGUCUACCUCUGGUAGGAGCAUUACCUGAUCUCGCACUCGUUAUUUCUUCUCUUUUAGUUGUUUCAGGACAAUACCGAAUAAAGUGAUCGGAUGCUCCACAUCUGAAACAAACAUUUUCACCUGCUCUACACUCUCCGGGGUGGCGUCUCCCACAUUGAGGACAUUCCGGUCUAGGAGGUUGAGUACUGCCAGUACUUGCAACUGUAGUGGUUUGAGCUCUAAAACCCUCGAAUCUUCUACUUCUUCUUCGGCCAGAAUAUAUAUGUGGAAAAUGUGAUCCGCUAGAGAGCUCCCUAGGCCUCUUAGAUGUAGACUGAAAUGAUUUACUCAUUUGCCUCUUCUUUGUAUCCUACGCUCCAGCUUCAGUUUUGCUCUUCUCUUUUUCUUUUAACAAGUCUUCUACUUUACAAGCUCUUUCUACCAGAACAACAAACUCUCUGAUUUCCAAUACACCCACUGAUAGUCGGAUGUCAUCAUUAAGCCCAUCUUCAAAUCUCUUGCACAUGUUGGCUUCGGUGGAUACAAAUUCCCGAGCAUACUUACUAAGUCUGACAAAUUCACGUUCAUAUUCAGUCAUGGACAUCUUACCUUGUUUUAGCUCAAGAAACUCCUUCCUUUUCUGCUCUGUAAAUCUCUGGCUGAUGUACUUCUUUCGAAACUCCUCCUGAAAGAAAUCCCAAGUAACCCUCUCACUCGGUACGAUAGACACGAGAGUCUUCCACCAAUGAUAAGCGGAAUCUCUGAGAAGUGAGACCACACACUUCAUACAUUCUUCCGGUGUACAAGAUAAUUCUUCAAAAACCCUGAUGGUAUUCUCAAGCCAGAAUUCUGCUUUUUCUGCAUCGUCAUCUUUGGUAGCCCGAAAUUCUUCAGCCCCUUGCUUCCUAAUCUUAUCAACAGGUGGUCUCUCCCUGAUAAAUAUACCUACAGCUGGGGAAGCUACAUGGGGAACCUGUGAAUCUUGAGGGGGUGGAGGUCUUACAGCCGGAUUCGUACGAACGAACUCGGCAAACCAAUCAGUCAUGGCUUGGAAGAAGGCUUCUCUAGCUCCUCCUCCCUGUCUAUCUGAUGCAGGUCUUUCACUAACAUUAACAUCUGAUGGCACCGUCCCUUCUGCGGGAAUAGGCGCAUUACUCUCUACUUCAUCUGUACUAGCUCGUUCAGGAUCCAUAACUAUUAAAGAAAAUAUUUUAAAAUCGUCAAGAGUCGUCACACUAUCAAAAUAUAUAAGUAUGGCAUGUAUAGGUAGACUCUUAUUCUUACUGAGUAUUUCCGAGAACCGACUAAACCUACUCUGAUACCAAUAAAAUGUAACACCCCUUACCCGAGACCGUUUCCGGAGUCGAGCACGAGGCAUUACUUAGCUUAUCUUCCAAUUCGGAGCAUAAAAACUAGGUUUGAAAAUUUAUUUCAUUAUUCGCAGCAAAUCUGUCCAAUCGCGCAGCAGUUACUAAAUUAAUUAUAACAUGAGCUACAGAACUCGAAAUUUAAUUCCAUAAAUUUUUCCUGAAACUAGACUCAUAUAUCUACUCACAAUAAAAUUUUUAGAAUUUUUGGUUCAGCAAAUUAGUACAGUUUAUUAGUUAAAGUCUCCACUGUUUCACCACCUGACUGCCCUGACCUCUAGUCACUAAAAAUAAGUUUUCUCACUGUAGGAUUUUCAUAUGAAGUUCUUACUUGUUUCUACAGAAAAUAUACUCAUUAAGAAAUCUAAUCAUGUAAAUUUCAACUCAUAACCAUUUUUGUACAAUUUGUAAUUAUUUUCUAAACUCAGAACAGGGGACUCCAAAAAUAAUUCUGACCCUAUCUUACUAAAAUUCACAUAUCUUAAAAUAUAAAUUUCCUUUUUCUACACCGUUAUUUUUCCAUGAAAAUAGACUCAACAAGAUUUAAUUCCAUAUAUCAUUCACCCUCUAAUUCAUUUUAUACUAUCUUGGGUGAUUUUUCAAAUUCACGUCACUGUGCUGCCUGAAUUCUGUUUCUUUGCAAAAUUUUAUCCUUUCAUGAUUUCCAUGCAUAAUUUAUCACCUAAUCUUUCAUAACAACAAACACCUUCAUCCUUAAUCAUUUUAAUAACCAUACAUCAUCAAAUACUUACACAUCACUCAUUAGCAAAAUCAUCAUUACAAACAUACAAAAUAACUAAAUCCCUAUACAUGCCAUAACUCAAACGUGUUUCGAUAUAAAAUACCGAGCAGUUGUAGUUGAUAGUGUGGACGAUCUCCGACUUCUUUAGGAUCCUUGAAGUAGCUUUGCAAUACUAUAAGAGAAAGAGAAAUAAAAGAAGUAAGCAUAAAGCUUAGUAAGUUUACUAGCAAAUAAAUAACAAUAUUUAACUUAAAUAAUUAAACUCAAUGUCUAUAUCUCUAGUUUACUCUUUAAUUAAUCUCAUACUAGUUCUCUUACUUGUUUACUUAGAAUACUUGUGUGCAUAACUUACUCAAUCCUUGCUGCAUCGUUGAACAUCAAUUGAUAGUAUAAUAAGUUCUUAAGUCUUACAACUUACCUGAGCUUGCCAUUUAUGCUUUAAACUGAACUUUCAUGAACAUGAUUCGUUUACAAGCCCGUUGAGCUACAUUGGAAUAAUAAGGAUACUCGGGUCUCUUCUGAUAAUAACAUGCCAAAGCCAUGUCCCAGACAUGGUCUUACAUGGGAUGUUCUCGUGAUGGUGCCCAUGCCAUGUCCCAGACAUGGUCUUAUAGGGGACCUCUCAUCUCGGUGCCAACGCCAUGUCCCAGACAUGGUCUUACAUGGGACCUCUCGUCUCGGUGCCCAUGCCAUGUCCCGGACAUGGUCUUACAGGGGACCUCUCAUGAUCUUAAGGAUGCCAAUGCCAUGUCCCAGACAUGGUCUUACAUGGGAUCUCUUUACCCAAAUGUCAUGACAUUCGUAUCCAGUACCAUCCUUAUGUAUCAACGGGACUUUUAAAUUUUAAUUCUCUAUCAUUUCAUGCUUGGAUCAUCAUCAAAUAAAUUCAUAAAAUAAAUUCAUAAUUGCUGGAAAUUAACAGAAUUAAUAAUAAAUAUUGAAAUAUUGCAUUUAUUUACCGUAAACUUACCUCGGUACCAAUUAUAGCCAAAUUCACCAACUUAGUCUUCAACUUUAUUCUUCCCUUUGUCUAACCUCGAGUUUCGUACUUCUUGAUCUAAAAUAGUAAAUUUAACUUAUUUAAUAAUCACAUUCAUUAAAACAGCCCUCGACUCUAACUUUUUUAAAAUUACAAUUUUGCCCCUAAACUUUUACAUAAUUACAUUUUUGCCCCCAAGGCUCGGAAAUUAAACUUCAUCUCUUAUUCUUAUGUUUUAUAACAUUCUGAACAUUUUUUCCUUCUAUGGAAACAUCAAAUUCUCACUCUAACAUGUACUUAUGAACAUUAGGUAUUUUUACCGAUUAUGUCGUUUUACUCGUUUUCACUUAAAAUCGCUUAGCAAAAGUUGUUUAACAUAAUUUCUAGCUACAUAUUCUAUCAUAAAACAUCAAAAUAAACACUUUUCACCUAUGGGUAUUUUUCCAAAUAUAAACCCUAGGUUAAAUUAUUGCUAAAAUAAGCUAAAUUAAGUUACCGGGAUCUCAAAAACGUAAAGAACAUUAAAAACGGGGCUUGGGAUCACUUACUAUGGAGCUUGGAAGCUUGAAAACCCUAACUAUGGCUUCCCCCCUUUCUGAUUUCGUUCAUAUGAAGAAGAUGAUGAUUUUUGUCAUCUUUUUCCCUUUUAAUUCAUUUUAAUUACUAGAUUACCAAAUUGCCCCUACUUAAAAAUUUUCUAUUUCACUUAUCUCAUGUCCAUUUUUGUCUACCAAGUUACCAAUGGUAUAAUUACCAUAUAAGGACCUCCAAUUUAAAGUUUCAUAACAAUUGGACACCUCUAACAUGUAGAACUCAACUUUUGCACUUUUUACAAUUUAGUCCUUUUGACUAAAUUGAGUGCCCAAACGUCGAAAUUUUCGAGCGAAAUUUUCAAAAAAUUAUUUUGUGAAAUUGUAGCCCAUAAAAAUAUAAGAAAAAUAAAAUUUUUAUCAUCGGAUUUGUGGUUCCGAAACCACUGUUCCGAUAACCUCAAAUUUGGGCCAUUACACCCAGCUUCCAUUCACUUUAACCUAUAAUGAAAUUAUCUUUUAAAACACUAAGUAAGUUCUUUUUCUGAAUCAACAAUAUAAAAUGUUUUGAACGCUUCGAUGUGGCAUGUCGGAUCCAGUCAUAAAGUCUGGGCCGGAUUUGGGGUGUUACAGUAAGUAAACAAACUUAUAAUAAAUAAAAAGCAUAAAAUAGUAAUAAUGGUAUUAACAAAAUACAUAUAGAUAUAAGUACAAUAACAAUAAUGGUAAUAAAAAAUAAAAAUAAUUGUAAUAAUAAUAGGUAUAAUACAUAAAAUAUAAACAUAAAUAUAAAGAGAGAAAUAAAAUUAGAUAAGACGAAUAUAAAUUAAGAUAUAAUAGCAAUAAUAGCAAUAAUAAUAAAUAUUGAUAAUAAACAAUAAUAAAAGGAAUAAAAAUAAUAGUAAUAAUAAGAAUAUUUAAUAAUAGUAAUAAUAACAACAAUAUAAUAUAUACACGAAAAGUACUGAUAAUAGCGCAAAUAAUAACAAAAAUAAUAAAAUUAACUAAUUUAACAGUAAAAUAGUUAAAUAAUGAAAAAGGGAUUAAAUUGAGGACUGAAACAAAUUAUUAAGUACAAAUUUAGAUAAACAAAAAUGAUUGCAAACUGAAUUAAAAGUGGAAGGACUUAUUUGGCAAAUAACCCACAUAGCAAAAACGCGCGGAUCUUAGGUAAGGCGGGUCGGGUCGCACGGGUAUGGCCAUUGCUCCGGCGAGGUUUCAGUCCGGUCGCCACCGUGGACCACCGCCGUCGCCGCCGUCGCCGGCCACCGCACACGGUGGCCUGAAAAUAUAAAAGGUACGCUUUUUUUAUAUAUUUUUUAAAAUUUUUUUGAUAUAAUCUAAUAUAUUGUAUAGGAAAAGAUAGAUUAAAAAAUAGAGAAAAAAGAAAAAAAAAAGAAGAAAAGAAAAAAAAACCUUAGCCCGAUUUUGAACCUCCUUUCUAUUUCAAUUGCUUUCGUUGUUCUUUUUGCUUUGAAUUGCUGCUGUUUUUAUUCAAUGUCUCUCCUUUGUAUUGAUGAAGAAAAAAAAAAGGGUCCUUUUACAUUGUGUUUUGAUGGCUUUUAUAGCCUUGUUACAUGAUUUAUUUUUUAUUAUCUUUCUUUUCUCUUCCUUUUGUAAGUGCAAGUGGAGUGGUGGCAUAGUGGUG
rnacentral:lncRNA from 1 species